rnacentral:tRNA from 1 species
GGGGAUGUGGUGAAAUUGGUAUACACGCAUGCUUCAGGUGCAUGUACCGCAAGGUGUGAGAGUUCGAGUCUCUCCAUCCCCA